rnacentral:tRNA from 1 species
CAAGGAGUAGUUUAAUUAGAAUGUCAGCUUUGGGAGUUGAUGGUGGGGUUGGUAUAGUGCUUCCUCCUUGA